rnacentral:rRNA from 1 species
GCGGCAUGCCUAACACAUGCAAGUCGAACGAACCCUUCGGGGUUAGUGGCGCACGGGUGCGUAACGCGUGGGAACCUGCCUUUAGGUUCGGAAUAACUCAGAGAAAUUUGAGCUAAUACCGGAUAAUGUCUUCGGACCAAAGAUUUAUCGCCUUUAGAUGGGCCCGCGUUAGAUUAGAUAGUUGGUGGGGUAAUGGCCUACCAAGUCGACGAUCUAUAGCUGGUCUGAGAGGAUGAUCAGCCACACUGGGACUGAGACACGGCCCAGACUCCUACGGGAGGCAGCAGUGGGGAAUAUUGGACAAUGGGCGAAAGCCUGAUCCAGCAAUGCCGCGUGAGUGAUGAAGGCCUUAGGGUUGUAAAGCUCUUUUACCAGGGAUGAUAAUGACAGUACCUGGAGAAUAAGCUCCGGCUAACUCCGUGCCAGCAGCCGCGGUAAUACGGAGGGAGCUAGCGUUGUUCGGAAUUACUGGGCGUAAAGCGCGCGUAGGCGGC